GAUGAACGCUAGCGGCAGGCCUAACACAUGCAAGUCGAGGGGCAGCGCGGGUAGCAAUACCUGGCGGCGACCGGCGCACGGGUGAGUAACGCGUAUGCAACCUGCCCGCCACAGGGGGAUAGCCCGCCGAAAGGCGGAUUAAUACCCCAUCGCCCCACGUUCCGGCAUCGGGAUGUGGGUAAAGGAGCGAUCCGGUGGCGGAUGGGCAUGCGUGCCAUUAGCUAGUUGGCGGGGUAACGGCCCACCAAGGCGACGAUGGCUAGCUGGUCUGAGAGGAUGGCCAGCCACACUGGAACUGAGACACGGUCCAGACUCCUACGGGAGGCAGCAGUAAGGAAUAUUGGACAAUGGACGGAAGCCUGAUCCAGCCAUGCCGCGUGAAGGACGAAGGCGCUCAGCGUUGUAAACUUCUUUUGGAUGGGGAACAAUAACUCCGACUUGUCGGAACUUGAGGGUACCAUCAGAAUAAGCACCGGCUAACUCCGUGCCAGCAGCCG
rnacentral:rRNA from 1 species